AUAUUUGAGUGAUACCAAUUUUUCAAAAAAAUUUAAUUUUCUAUAGGCAUAUGCUCCAUUAAAUUAAAUAUUCUCCAAAGCUAUUUUCCCCAAUCCAUGGAAAUUGGUACUCAUGAAAAUAAAUGAAUCCUCUAGUACUUUUACUCAUUUAAAAUAUAAAAACAAGAAGAUAUGAUAUGAUUGUCAAUGAGACAACUCUCCACCAGAGACCAAAUGACAUGGAGUAAGCAACUAUAAGUAACCAUACCGCCAUCUACAAUGAUAAAAAACAUGCAACAUAAGUCAGCUUAAAAGGUCCUGAAAUGACAAAUGUUAAUAAAUCAACAGCCUGAUUUAUGUACAAAACAAUUACAUGUACAUGUACCAAAAAGCAAGCAUGAUAUACAACAACAAACAACAACCACUUAAUUACAGGUUCCUGACAUAAUACAGACACAUACAGAAAGUGGCAGCUUCAACAUACUUGCAGGCGCGUAGCUCCCUAUACGCUAACACGCAGUUGCAUGCACAAUGGAUGUGGCAUGCCAAAAAAAAUUGCAAAAUAAAAAUUUAUAAAUUAAAUGUUUCAAGGAAAC
rnacentral:lncRNA from 1 species